rnacentral:rRNA from 1 species
CGCGUGAGGGAUGACGGCCUUCGGGUUGUAAACCUCUUUUAGCAGGGAAGAAGCGAGAGUGACGGUACCUGCAGAAAAAGCGCCGGCUAACUACGUGCCAGCAGCCGCGGUAAUACGUAGGGCGCAAGCGUUAUCCGGAAUUAUUGGGCGUAAAGAGCUCGUAGGCGGUUUGUCGCGUCUGCUGUGAAAUCCCGAGGCUCAACCUCGGGCCUGCAGUGGGUACGGGCAAACUAGAGUGCGGUAGGGGAGAUUGGAAUUCCUGGUGUAGCGGUGGAAUGCGCAGAUAUCAGGAGGAACACCGAUGGCGAAGGCAGAUCUCUGGGCCGUAACUGACGCUGAGGAGCGAAAGGGUGGGGAGCAAACAGGCUUAGAUACCCUGGUAGUCCACCCCGUAAACGUUGGGAACUAGUUGUGGGGACCAUUCCACGGUUUCCGUGACGCAGCUAACGCAUUAAGUUCCCCGCCUGGGGAGUACGGCCGCAAGGCUAAAACUCAAAGGAAUUGACGGGGACCCGCACAAGCGGCGGAGCAUGCGGAUUAAUUCGAUGCAACGCGAAGAACCUUACCAAGGCUUGACAUACACCAGAACACCGUAGAAAUACGGGACUCUUUGGACACUGGUGAACAGGUGGUGCAUGGUUGUCGUCAGCUCGUGUCGUGAGAUGUUGGGUUAAGUCCCGCAACGAGCGCAACCCUCGUUCUAUGUU